rnacentral:rRNA from 1 species
UACGAAGGGGGCUAGCGUUGCUCGGAAUCACUGGGCGUAAAGCGCACGUAGGCGGCUUUCUAAGUCAGGGGUGAAAUCCUGGAGCUCAACUCCAGAACUGCCUUUGAUACUGGAGAGCUCGAGUCCGGAAGAGGUGAGUGGAACUGCGAGUGUAGAGGUGAAAUUCGUAGAUAUUCGCAAGAACACCAGUGGCGAAGGCGGCUCACUGGUCCGGUACUGACGCUGAGGCACGAAAGCGUGGGGAGCAAACAGG